rnacentral:sRNA from 1 species
GUGAUUAGUCUUCUCUUGUUUUUCAAAAUCAUGUCUUUUUUUCAUUACAUAUUCAUUGUCAUGCUCUAUAAUAUCUUCUGAUUAUAAUUGUAAAUCCCACUGUCUUUUUCUGCUCUUUUGAACCUCUUCUGCUAUUCUUGUAUAUUGCAGAUUUUGAUAGACUAGUAUAUAAGAUUUCUUCUCAGCAAUUGCAGUCUUUUCAAGUUGUUUCACAUUCUAUCUAAUCAUUGAAUCUAUUUCAUUGUCUUAUAGCAUGGCAUUCAGAGAUUUGACAUAUCUGUGUAAUCUUUAUACAGUAGUAGAGAUAGCAGCUGUAGCGAGAUUGUAUUAUUAUUAUUAUUAUUUUUCCGUUAUACUCGUAUGCAAGCAAUGCUUAUGAUGAGUCCUUGUGUGAUGUUAAAUACAGGCAAGAGUUGGUUAUACAGAAGGAAUGCUAGUGUUGAAAACGCGCCAAGAUAUAACUAGUAAAACAUAGGAAAAUCAAAUGAAAAACA